CUGCAGGCACUCGGAGCUGUAGCUGAGCCUUGUCUGGAGGCUCCUGUGUCCUGGGCUCCGUGGCACACACCAGUCAUCACGAUGGCUGUUGUUCAGUGGGGCCUGAAUUCAUGCCUUCUCUCCUUCAAGCUGCACAGCAGGCCGCCCUCUUGUUGUUCACAGUUUACCUUCAGGGACCCUGAGGUUUUGAGGU
rfam:Myotis lucifugus cont2.26187, whole genome shotgun sequence.